rnacentral:rRNA from 1 species
AGUGAACGCUGGCGGUAGGCCUAACACAUGCAAGUCGAACGGCAGCACAGUAAGAGCUUGCUCUUACGGGUGGCGAGUGGCGGACGGGUGAGGAAUACAUCGGAAUCUACUUUUUCGUGGGGGAUAACGUAGGGAAACUUACGCUAAUACCGCAUACGACCUACGGGUGAAAGCAGGGGAUCUUCGGAACUUGCGCGAUUGAAUGAGCCGAUGUCGGAUUAGCUAGUUGGCGGGGUAACGGCCCACCAAGGCGACGAUCCGUAGCUGGUCUGAGAGGAUGAUCAGCCACACUGGAACUGAGACACGGUCCAGACUCCUACGGGAGGCAGCAGUGGGGAAUAUUGGACAAUGGGCGCAAGCCUGAUCCAGCCAUACCGCGUGGGUGAAGAAGGCCUUCGGGUUGUAAAGCCCUUUUGUUGGGAAAGAAAAGCAGCAGGUUAAUACCCCGCUGUUCUGACGGUACCCAAAGAAUAAGCACCGGCUAACUUCGUG